UCCAAUGAAUCUAAUAAGCUUGUAGUGCUUUUUGAAAUGUAUAGAAAAAUCCAGUACCUUUGUUCGUUUAGUUUCGGUACAUGUUUUGACUUGGAGGAAGUAAGUCUAGGUGCCGGUUAACAUAAAAUGCAGCAAAAUAGAACGGAAAUGUGUUUCUAAGAUAAUUAGUUUAUGCAUCAGAUUGGUGCGUGCGUGUCAACAGAAUCAGUCUAGAAUGAGCCCUGAAAACGGGCCGUUCUAAGACUAUCCACAGUGCGGAAUCUAAAAAUCCUUAAGCGGCGGAGAAUCAAACAACUAGGGAGAAAAAAAAAUCAAAAUGUUUUGAGUAUCUUUCAUCUGAUUUAAACGGAAGGAUAAUAAUAACUUAAAUUUGACAUCUGGCCAGAGUAACUUGUGGGUGCAAGAUUUUGAUCAGGCGGAAGCUCAAAAUGUUCAUCAUUCAACAUCAGCAUAGGGGGAAUAAUUAAACUACAACUUCAUAAAGUAGUUCAAUGCCGGUGUUCCUUUAUUCAACUCCCAGCGAGAUUUGCCUCUUUGAAUGAUAUCUUUUAUGACACUGGAGUAACCCGGACCAGAAGAACUUCCGGACCUGUACCUUCGCGAUUACGGAAAGUUUUUAAUCGAUGAUGACAUGAAAACGGAUUACGAGACGGCGAGGUGAAUCCUCAUACUUCAACAGAACGGCUGAGAACAAAAACCGAAUCCAGAAAAUGUUCAAUUGUUUUAACGUAAAAUUUUCUAUAACAUACAGAGG